rnacentral:rRNA from 1 species
AACGAACGCUGGCGGCAGGCUUAACACAUGCAAGUCGAACGCCCCGCAAGGGUAGUGGCAGACGGGUGAGUAACGCGUGGGAAUCUACCCAGUUCUACGGAACAACAGAGGGAAACUUCUGCUAAUACCGUAUACGCCCUAAGGGGGAAAGAUUUAUCGGAAUUGGAUGAGCCCGCGUAAGAUUAGCUAGUUGGUGAGGUAAUGGCUCACCAAGGCGACGAUCUUUAGCUGGUCUGAGAGGACGAUCAGCCACACUGGGACUGAGACACGGCCCAGACUACUACGGGAGGCAGAAGUGGGGAAUCUUGCGCCAUGCGCGAAAGCGUGACGCAGCAACGCCGCGUGGGGGAAGAAGGCCUUCGGGUUGUAAACCCCUUUCAGGAGGGACGAAGGUAGGGCGGUGAACAGCCGUCCCUACUGACGGUACCUCCAGAAGAAGCCCCGGCUAACUA